GUAAGUUUUGCAAAGAAAUAGAAAAAUGUUAGUCUGGUUUAUAAUGGGAGUAAAUUUUCUACACUCGCUACAAAAAUAAGUGAAGAUUUUUUCAUGUUGCUAGGAUAGUGUUACUGUGAAGAACAAGUGGAAGCGGUUAAAGGCGAAAUAUAAUCAAAUUAAAACGAAAACAUCACAAUCUGGAAAAAGUUCCAGGUCUGCGUUGAAUUGGCCAUAUUUUAGGGCCAUGCAUGAGCUUCUUGGCUCCAGACCAAGAUUGCAGGCUUUGGCCUCCAUGAUUGGUGUUGAUACCAGUGAGCCGUCAAUCGCACAAGGCCAUAGUUUCGACGCAACCGUCACUCAGUUUGUGGCUGAAAUAGAGGUUGACAAUCUAGAUAGCAGUCUCCUGCAAGAAGAUGUCGGAGGGUGAGUUGCAACAGGAACUGCCGCAGGGUUUGUCGAAGAGUCAUUUUUAAUUUUUUAUGUUUAUGAUUAGCGUCUCCAACCCGAAUUACGGUUUGAGGCAAUGUAUUUAUAAAUUAUUGUAAUAUGCUUUAUCUUCAGUUGAUGAAAGUGUCAGCCAUGCUCCACCAACUUCAAGCCAGCGAGGCAGGAGAAGACAGAGUAGCAGAGAAAAUUAUGAUUCCAGAACUGAAGCUCUCUUGAGAGUAUUUCGGGAAGAAUGUGAAAAAGAUAUACUUGCAUUUGCAUCAGCUUUGGAGAAUUCAACAAAUAAAAUAUUA